rnacentral:rRNA from 1 species
UACGUAGGGUGCGAGCGUUUAAUCGGAAUUACUGGGCGUAAAGCGUGCGCAGGCGGUUCGCUAAGACCGAUGUGAAAUCCCCGGGCUUAACCUGGGAACUGCAUUGGUGACUGGCGGGCUAGAGUAUGGCAGAGGGGGGGUAGAAUUCCGACGUGUAGCAGUGAAAUGCGUAGAGAUGUGGAGGAAUACCGAUGGCGAAGGCAGCCCCCUGGGCCAAUACUGACGCUCAUGCACGAAAGCGUGGGGAGCAAACAGG